rnacentral:misc_RNA from 1 species
CACACAUUGCAUCUGAACAUUAUUUUACUAUUACAAGAUUAUACAACUCAUCAAUAAACUUACAUGAAACCCCAUAAAGCAUAAAUCCCUCACCCCUCCAAAACUGCUAAAGUAAAGCUUCUUAACUACAAUCACAGGAAAUGCAAAUAUAGCAAAUAAAUAAAAGUCAACUUAGAACUUCAGCUGCAAAACCCUCAGACGAUCGAUUAACAGGAAUAAAGGAUGAAGGUGGUUUGGUCACAGCAAUCAGAAUAUCUGCAUAACCAACCACGCCGACUAAAACAUCAUCGCCAUUAUCCUCAGUCACCCAUACAUGGGUUGCCCUGUGAGACAGCAUCUGAGCCAUGACAGCAGCCAAUGAACUCGAAAGUUUACAUGUUAGGGGUGCACUUCUGCCCCUAUACAUGCUCCUGCCCAAUUCCAAAACUUGAGCUUCCUGGAUUGAAACCAAUGCUCCUGCUGCUGAAUUUCCUUGCUCUUGUUGAUCCACCAUCAUUAAACAUAUUAUUCUCGCCAUUUGUUGAGUUGACUGUAAAGUCAGGAAAUGAUCUUGUAGUCAAAUUGUCAUCUGCCCCCAUCACAAACUGCCCAGCUGAAAGAUUGGCUAAAGCCCAUGCUGCAGCCAAAUAAUCACAUUUCCAUAAUCUGGAGGCUGAUAUUUCCCCUAUAAUCUUACAGCGACCAUCUGGCAUGGGCUCAACAAUGGCAACAGCGAAGGAGUCUUGCGAUAGCUUUUGUGUAGCCUCAAUGACUGGAAGCGAGGCCUCAACUGAAUGAUAGUUCAAGUUAAUGGCUCCAAGAGCAGAGAUGGAGGAAAGAGGGAGUGGAGCUAGAGCGCCAAGGCAACCAAUCAGAAAACGGAUGAUAUCUUCUCUAGAGAGACAACAGAACUUGUCAUGGCUGGAACUAGCGGAAGAUAAGGAAGGGCGACUGGUGUUGAUGGUGAGG